rnacentral:pre_miRNA from 1 species
UGUCUUUUUCCGCUUACUGACGUUUUAUUGAACAACGGCAGGGAAGGGAAAAAGGCGUA